rnacentral:rRNA from 1 species
GUGGGGAAUUUUGGACAAUGGGCGAAAGCCUGAUCCAGCAAUGCCGCGUGCAGGAUGAAGGCCCUCGGGUUGUAAACUGCUUUUGUACGGAACGAAACGGUCCGGGUUAAUACCCUGGGCUAAUGACGGUACCGUAAGAAUAAGCACCGGCUAACUACGUGCCAGCAGCCGCGGUAAUACGUAUGGUGCAAGCGUUAAUCGGAAUUACUGGGCGUAAAGCGUGCGCAGGCGGUUUUGUAAGAGAGGCGUGAAAUCCCCGGGGUCAACCUGGGAAUUGCGCUUGUGACUGCAAGGCUGGAGUGCGGCAGAGGGGGAUGGAAUUCCGCGUGUAGCAGUGAAAUGCGUAGAUAUGCGGAGGAACACCGAUGGCGAAGGCAAUCCCCUGGGCCUGCACUGACGCUCAUGCACGAAAGCGUGGGGAGCAAACAGGAUUAGAUACCCGUGUAGUCC